UUUGUGUGUGUGUAUAACAGAGAGAGCAAGCAGAGGGAAGGGCAGAGGGAGAGAGAAUCUCCAGCCGACUCCCUGCUGAGUACAGAGCCCGAUGCAGGGCUGGAUCCCACAACCCUGAGAUCACGACCUGAGCCAAAAUCAAGAGUUGGAUGCUUAACCAACUGAGUCACCCAGGCGACCCCCUCUCCCCCACUUCUCUGACCACUCUAAAUUUCUAACAAAAAGCUCAAAGUUAUGAGGAAAAGAUCUUCAAAUAUAGACCAUUCUCAAAAUACAAUGGUGGUUCCUGGAAACAGUCUGUGACAAUCAUUACCCUAAACCACAUGGGUUGGUCCAAAGUGAAUCUGGUGCCAUUAGAAACUACAGAAGCUCAACGUCCAAGAAGAUGCUAGCCUAGCCCCACGGAUGGCUGGGAAACCAGCUACAUAUUCCAGUGCCCUGCUCCCGUCUGAAUGAACAUCCACUGAAUAUCUGCAGUAUGAAUGACAUUGUGCUACACGGUACAGGGGGGACAAAAAGGGAGGAUGGGCGGCCAGCAACAUUUUGGCACACAGGAGGCCAAGAGUCUCUUGAGAAAACAGGGCCUGUAUACAUAGAUUCCUCAGAGACCUGGAUUCUGGUCUAAACUAAAUUACUGGAUGUAUGACCUUGGGCAAGUCACAAAAUUUCUCUGCACCUUGGAUUCUGCGUAUGAGAAUUUAACAACAUAAAGCAUCAUUCAUGAGGAGACGAUUGCUUGCAAAGGUUCAAUGCAAGAGGACGGAGAGAUCAAGGGAAUCUUCCCAGAGUUGAGAUUUCAGCGGGGCCUUGAAAAACGAGUAGAAUUCUGAGGGAAAAGAAGCAUUAGGGGACUCCAGGAGGGAAAACGAAGGCCGGAACACAUACUUCCUAUUAAUGAGAUAGACUCAUUAAUAGACUGACAUCCGGCUCAUCGAGUGUUAGUGCAGUGGUGAAUGAAGUGAGCCAGGUAUGACCAAGGAUGUGGAGACGCUGGGAGGUGUUGAAUGCCAGCCUAAGGAAUGUGGCCUUUCUCCUAUUCAUUGGGUUGUUCGUAAAGGGACAAGGCAAGAGAACCAGUAUCCACAUCAGUCAGCACAUCCAGUUUACACGGAUUAACACCUCCUCACUCAAUUUAGAAGGUAUAGGGAUGAAGCAAUGCAGUCGUGAUUUGCAAACCACGGGAGAGCCCGAAGGACGAAACCUAUUAAGAGACUAUAGAUGGGGCAAAGGUAUACAUCAAGGACAGCCGCAGGAUUGGCAUUUUCGAGUAAGAGAAGAUGAUAAAGGAAUGACGGGAUGUUGCUGUUCACUGAUAACUCAGCUGUUACAUCUGAAAACAGUGACGCGCUCUGUUUGUAUCUGUAGGUUGGACAGUAAACUCCACAACGAAAGGUGAAAGCAUCCAAACUCUGAGAGCAAAUAAGAGAAACCUUUAACAGAAAUCAGCACUUUUCGAGUACCCUUGCAUGCUUGUGCCUAGUUAUAGGCAACAUAUCACACAGUUCUGGAAUAAAAAGAAAAUUGAAAAUCAAAUUUUACAAAUGACAGUAUUUGAAACCAUUAUUGGCUUUUAAAUAGAUAGGACAAUGUGUGGAAAUGAAGAAACUUGUUUAGGGUUUAUUUGCCUUUUCAGUAGAAUUUAAAUUGGGGGGUGGGGGGUAAAUCUCACAGAAGAAAUACAGAUUCAGUAACUUUUUCUGGGGAUUAAAAGAAGAAAGGAUUGGGAAAAGUGCCCUGGGCUUUGUUGUGGGAAAGGCGAUCUGGCUCAUUUUUAAUUUUCCAUUAAAGCCCUACUUUUCGGUAUAAAGCAGAUGGAAUCCUUACACAACUCCAUGAAAAGCCUACUAUUUUUGGGAGCCUCAAAGAUGGAAGCUCUGAAAAAAAAAAAAAGUGUUUAAAUUCAUCAGAUAAAAUCCCACCAGCACAUUCAAAAGAAGCAGGUACUUAGAAAUCUUAAAAAUACAAAGUAAGUGGUCUUCCUGUGAUUGAUUUCUGAUCCCCAGCCUCCCCUGGGUGGCUGCUGGCUCUGGCUCCGCUGAUUGAUGAUUCUCCACCACUUCACGGCCUGCUCUCAUCAGUGAGGCUCAGAGUCACUAUGCUUGCCUCAUUCCUUGUCUUUCAGAAGCUGCCUCCCUGGUGGGUCCAUCCCCGCUGCCAUGCUCAUACCUAGAAGAGAUUUCAGUGUCAGGCCUGCCCGCCCCAGACCUACGGAGUCAGAAGAGGGCCUGGGAAUAUGCAUUCUCUAAGAUCCUCAGAGAAUAUUCAUGUAACCAUGGCCCUAAAGCUUUCUCCUUAUUAUUCUUAUGAGCUAAGGCCUAGUCAAUAUAUUCUGUUGGUUGUGCUGCCGGUGUGGAUGGAAGACGACGAGGGCUGAUGUUUACGGGGUGUGGACUGUGAAUGCACUGGGCUAGGAGGUGAUAUGCACAGUCUCUGUCCUUACAGUUUACAAGCUCACUUGAGAAACAGAACAAAUUCAGUCUUGGGAGCAGAGAUUCUGGAGUCAGACUGACUGCCUGGGUUCAGAUUCCAGCUCUGCUGCUUACGAGCUGUGUGAGUCUGACUAAACCACUUAACGUCCUAUACCUCAGCUUCCCCCUCUAUUAAAUGGGAAUAAUAAUGAUAGUACAUCAUGGAAUAAUGCUGGGUGUCGUGCCGGCCAAUCGACCAUGGAUAUAUAUAGUCCCUGACUUCCAAAGAGCUCACAGGUCCAUAAAAAAAAAAAAACAGUAUCCGCCCAUUCUCUCACCCAGCUGACUCCAUUUUGCUCUUUUUUUUUUUAAAGUCAGACCAUGAUGAGGGUGAUGACGAGGUGUUAACCAAGUGCUAUGGGGGCCCAGAAAGAGGACCAAGAGGGGACUUCCCAGAAGGUAGGCCUUGAGUGGAGCAAUGAAGGAGUGAGGUUUCCACUAGGGGGGGAAGGUGUCUUUAUAUCCUCCAACACUUAACCCAGAAGCAACUGCAAAGCAAAGGUAAGGACAUUAGAAAGCAGGCAGGGAGCGAGGAACCACCACAGCUUCGGAGCAAAAGCAGGCAUGAGCUUAGGAACCACACAGACUGGCUUCUCUAGUAAUUAGCUGGGUGACCACACUCAAGUUCCUUAACCUUUCUGAGCCUCGGUCUUCCCAUUUGAUCAAUGGGGAUAAUAACACCUGCCUUACAGAGUUGUUAUAAUUAAGUAAAUUACUGUAUGUAAAGCACUUAACGAGGCCUCCAGGGUGCAAUAAAAGUGGUAGGUAUUAUUAUUUUUAUGGUAUAUUUAAGGAGGGGUAAGUAGCACAUGUGGCGUGCUACAUGCCUUUUUUUUUUUUUUUUUUGACAUUAUCAGAAGGCCAGAAAUAAGCAGCCGUCAGAAGAAGCCUUACGAAUUGAAAUAAGCAAUGGGCUAAGACUUUCCCACACUGUACAUUUUUCUCCCCCAAAUUUAUAGUUAAUUGAUGUUCGACACAUAUUUGUCCAAACCAACAAGGGGCUGCCUGAGGCCACAGGUCUACAAGGGCAGAAAUAACGUGGUGAUCUCUGCUUCCUAAAAAUACCCAGGAUGGACCCAAGUCAGCUUUACAUCCUGUAGGUCAUCCUGGAAGCGCUGAGACGAAUGGGAAAAUGCUCUCAUCCAAACAUUACGACAACUCAGAGCCUCACAAACGUUGUUAAAGUUUCAUGAGUCAGUAAGCAUUAUCUUUUCUUCCCACGUUUUUAUUAGACCAUAAAUCCAGUUCAAUUUAUAUCCUUCUAGGAUUACUGUGUUCUAAUCAAGUCCAGAGUGCCACUUAUUCCUAGGCUGUCUAUACUGCCUGUCACCCAAGUCCAUUGGGGUAAUAGUGUUUGGGCUACUCGGGUGUUUUGGCAGCUAAAAAUUAGAUUUGCUACAUUGAGGGGAAAAAAAAGGAUAUUUCUCGAAAUAAUCCAAAUCACCCUAUUCUCGUAAGAACCAAGUGCCUAAAAGCCAUAACUCACGUUUUCUCUGUAGUCUCUGCCUUCAGGAAGUCUGAUGAAAUUCCUAAGUCAAAUUCAAAGGAUUUGCAUCAUAACUAGGUUAAAAUUCUGGUUGUCUGACUAAAACCAAGACACUCUUUGAUAGGGCUAACUUCAAAGUGCUUUUAUGUUUUCUAUUCUCAAGAAUAAAAAAGGCUCUGCGUU
rnacentral:lncRNA from 1 species